rnacentral:misc_RNA from 1 species
UGCGGCUGGAUCACCUCCUUUCUAAGGAAGAUGUUGAGUAUCAUUGAAUUUAUUGAGUGAUCUGAACGUUUUUUGAAGAUUAAAGCUUUUAAUUAAGCUUGAUAU